UUUGACUUGUUCACAUGUUCCUGAAUUGAUGGGCUCCUCCUGUUUCUUUCUGGGGUUUUUCCUAGAACCGUGCUGUAGUAAACAUGGUUUCAUCCGAGGGUCUGAGCAGCAUUUCCCAGUGGAGGAAAAGGCACCUCACAAGGAUGUGAAGGGUGCCCACUAUAUACACAUUUUACCCAAAGGGACCCUGCCACUCACUGAGGAGGAGGCUGAUGAAUACCAGGAGCCCAGUCAUCCAGAAGAAGGACCGGUUCUUGGAGCAGGACCCCAUGGCAGGUUGCCUGCUGGCCUGUUCAGCUGCAGUGGAAACAGAAGAGAGGAAGAGAACUGCUCUGCAGAUUUCCAGGAGAGAGGAUAUUCAAGAUUGGCUCGAUUCUGACUACCCCACGUGGUAAUGAGGAAGUUACUGCAAGCAAGAGAGAUCAGAUUGUUACUGUGUCUAUGUAGAAAGAAGUAGACAUAGGAGACUCCAUUUUGUUCUGUACUAAGAAAAAUUCUUCUGCCUUGAGAUUCUGUUAAUCUAUAACCUUACCCCCAACCCCGUGCUCUCUGAAACGUGUGCUGUGUCAACUCAGAGUUAAAUGGAUUAAGGGCGGUGCAAGAUGUGCUUUGUUAAACAGAUGCUUGAAGGCAGCAUGCUCCUUAAGAGUCAUCGCCACUCCCUAAUCUCAAGUACCCAGGGACACAAAAACUGCGGAAGGCCGCAGGGACCUCUGCCUAGGAAAGCCAGGUAUUGUCCAAGGUUUCUCCCCAUGUGAUAGUCUGAAAUAUGGCCUCGUGGGAAGGGAAAGACCUGACCGUCCCCCAGCCCGACACCCGUAAAGGGUCUGUGCUGAGGAGGAUUAGUAACAAGGAGGAAGGAAUGUCUUUGCAGUUGAGACAAGAGGAGGCAUCUGUUCCCUGCCUGUCCCUGGCAAUGGAAUGUCUCGUAUAAAACCCGAUGUAUGCUCCAUCUACUGAGAUAGGGAAAAACCACCUUAGGGCCGGAGGUGGACCUGCGGGCAGCAAUACUGCUUUGUAAAGCAUUGAGAUGUUUAUGUGUAUGCAUAUCUAAAAGCACAGCACUUAAUCCUUUACAUUGUCUUAUGAUGCAAAGACCUUUGUUCACGUGUUUGUCUGUGACCCUCUCCCCACAAUUGUCUUGUGACCCUGACACAUUCCCCCUCUUGGAGAAACACCCACAAAUGAUCAAUAUACUAUAGGGAACUCAGAGGCUGGCGGGAUCCUCCAUAGGGGAUCCUCCAUAUGGGAUCCUCCAUAUGCUGAACGCUGGUUCCCCGGGUCCCCUUAUUUCUUUCUCUAUACUUUGUCUCUGUGUCUUUUUCUUUCCUAAGUCUCUCGUUCCACCUUACGAGAAACACCCACAGGUGUGUAGGGGCAACCCACCCCUACAAUAUCACAGCCGCUCUCCCAUCCCACUGUGUGGCCCCAAGCACGUCAUCUUGAGUGAACCCUCUGUUCUCACCCAGAACUGCUCUGCAGAUUUCCAGGAGAGAGGAUAUUCAAGAUUGGCU
rnacentral:lncRNA from 1 species